CUUCCAUUGUAAAUCUGAUUCCGUGCUGUCGUUGUCUUCUGUUUGGUUCUUAAGAUGAUUAUUAAUUAUUUAUUUUUUUUGUUUUACUUGAUUGCCUAUGAUAUCUUUCUUAAAACGACAAAACCUUGAACGAUGUUCUUGAUCUAGUAUGUCUUCUCGGGGACUUCGUUCCCCAUGGAAAAGGGAAGAGGGGAUUCCUGAAGGAUUGGUUGCUUUUCGUAAUUUGUGCAUAUGUUAUUGUCGAAGACUUCGUCUUUUGACAAUUUUGGAGAUUUUUUUUAUUCUUUUUGGCGCUAAAAUAAGUGUCAGUUGGGCAGAAAUGGCAAACUUAAAACUGUCAUGGAAACAGUGCACUUCCUAUUUAUCCUAGGUUGAUUUCCAGAUUUAAUUUUUUGAUUGCUCAUAAACUUGAAAGAUUGGACUUACUCCGAGUAUGCGCAUCUCUCUCUGUGCAUCUAAUAUAAUGCCGGGUCACUGUUCUUCCUGGACUGGAGUGGUUUUGCUUCUUUCCUUGGGCUCUUCUGCAAUUGGCUUGGAAGAGAAAGAAGGACACCUGAGUCUAGGGCUUUUUUUAUUUUAGUCAUAUAGUUCGUUGAUGGUCUUCUAAUAAUUUUAGAAGUCAUUUCUAUGCCAUUUGGAGCCAAUAUAGGUGUUCAAUGAGGUUGAGAUAGUAAAAAUAAAUUGGUCAUGACGGGGACAUAUUAUGUCCCAUCGACAUGUUCAGGAUUCUUAUUCAAGAAUUAUGAAUUUUUCAAGGCAAAACUAGUUGUAAGACCGAACAAACUCUUCAUGAGGAAGUUGAGGAAUAUACGAUGCAGAUCCAGUUUGACUAUCCAUACCAUUGAACUUUUUUAGCAUCUGACUUUUGGGCAUGAGAUAGAGUUAGAUAUGGUUAUCAACCAUAACCGUGCUAUUUUCUCCAAGCUAGAUUGUAUUGGAAUGUUAUGGUGGCCAAGAAAUGCAUUGUUACUAAGCCUAAACAUGCUUUGCAAUUUACAUAAUGUCUAGAAUUAGGCGAUCAAGAGUUCCUCUAUAAAGUGUCGUAUAGCUUUGCACAAUUGAUUUCAUUUGUUAUUUCUUUUGGUCAAUAGGGUAAGCGCAGACAAUCCUAUCAUUAAUUGGCGACUACAUACUUUGGUUGGGAGAUAGAAUUCUUUAGGGAAAAGGCUUUUGGGGUAAGGUAGAUUAUAAAAAGAAUGUCAAAGUGAAAUAGCUUCUAUUGAAUGUCUUCAGGGGUUGUCUGUAGACUGUAGAUGGUGAGCUUUGGACAAUGGUGUUGCUCUUCAUCCUCUAGUAUUGAUGGCAAGAGAAGCAAUUUCAAGGAAGAGUGGUUGUGCAUUGGGAUGUGGAUGUUGACGUCCCCCACCAACCAGUGUCGCAUGCUUCUCUUUUGUGUUUGUUUAGACGAGUUGUUGUCUGGGUGUAGGCAAGGUCUGCCAUACCAACUCAUAUGUCCCAUGCUGAUUAUACCAUAUUGUACUAGUACAGUACCAAGGGUUGGUUCAGUAUAUGAGUUGAAUUGGUCCAAACUGGUUUGAAUCAAAUGUAGCCAUCUCAUACUCUCCGGAACUGACCCAUAUCAUCCAAUUUCGGGCAGUACCGUAGUUGGGAGAGAAAAAAGUGCUGAGAGUUUGUCUCAAUAUGAGGUACAUACUAUAUUGUAUCGAUCAUAGUACCAAACUGAUAACGUGAAGGUAUGGUUUUGGGUAUCAGUUCUGCGGACCAUUUGUGUGGGCCUUUGCAGGAUGCACUCUGUUUCUCUGGGCUAGGCUUUGGUGUCUUGCUCCACUUGAUUGAUAGUUUCUGUCAUGGGUUGUUAUGUUGCCCCAUGUAUGUGGACUUGUGCUUGUGUCCUUUAUGGUUGGGUGGUUGGUAGCUGGGCUCUGCCCUCUCCAGCUACUUGGCCUUGGCCUGUGCUCAAGGGCAGUGAGGGAGGCCUUGGCAUGUACUAGGGGCCAUUCGGGCCAUUGUUCAAAUCCAAAAAUAAACCAAAGAAAAAAUGAAAAUAGGUCUAAUGAAAAUUUUAAACCAAGAAAACAAAAUAUCAUUAUUUACUUUUAUUUUUUUAGCAUAGUUCUUCAUGACAAUUAUUUAAGCUGACUGUUACCCUUAGAUUAUGUACCCUGUUUUUAGCCCCUUUUAGGGUCCUUGGUCAGUUUAAUUGCCACUUGGUUGAUUGAAGUGACUACUUUUGACAUUGAGUGGGCAACUUUCAUUGAAGUGCUUUAUACUCCCUUCUUUUCAAGGAGAUCUAGACUGGCAAGUAUGAAAUCUAUAUUAACUGAUAAGGAAGAAAAUGAUGAAGUUGAGUUCUUCAGAUGUUCUUCCUAAUUUGUCCCUUGAUUAUAUGUCAUUUCUAUUUUGUUGUACUGUUUCUGAAACAAUAUCGAAGUCGUGCUUCACUCUAAUGGCAAUUUGAUGUGUAUCUGAUCUAGUUGACUGGAAGACUUGAAAUUGAUUCAUGGUGAAAACAUGGCUGUUCUUGCAGCAAAAAAAAAACAUGGCUGUUCAUAGUGGAAUCAAAAUUUUCUACAUAAAAUCUGAAAAAUAUGCAUGCCUCUACCUUAUUUUUAGAUCUGAAGUAAAUUGUUGAUCUUUUAGCCCAUUGCAAGAUCGAUAUCUGUAUUAAAUUGGUUUCAGAAGGAAAUGUUCGGUGUGGAAGCACAUAUUGGAUAUCUCAAGAAGAAGAAUGACUUACUUUCAGGCAUCGAGUGAAGAAACUAUUGAAGAUUUGAGCAUGGGCAACCUGUUUGCCUUUUCAUCACAUAGAAGAUGACAUGAGGACUUAAGAAUUGACCAUCCAAAGAUCCGUUGAUGAGAGGUCACAAAAUCCCUUCAAUCAAAUGUUGAUUUUGCAGUUUGGUUGGUGAAAGGUCUACCUAUGAAGUCUGCAAGCACCUAUCACAAGGUCUACUUGUUGGUUUGGAUGUACAAUUUAUGUAUCGUGUGAUCACAUCUUCCAAGACUAAAUUAGCCUUGCCUAAAGUUGAUCAGAUCUGUCAUAUUAUCAGAUUCAGAAUAACUAGUACAUCUAUUUGCCAUAUCAUCUGCAAGGGAGAAAAGAAAAGUUAUUUUGGAUGAUGCCAUGUGAUUUUGCCAAUCCAAUAGCAGAGCAUAAAAUAAGGGACGAUUUUUCGAGAUGAGAUCCAUGGAGUAGAAACAAGUUGACAUCCUAGGUUUUGAAAUGGUUUUGACUAGAUAAUUUUAGGGUCACUUUUUUCUGCUUUGUAGCUGUCCUUGGCUCCAAGUUUAUGAACCUUACAUGUUUCUUUAUGUGAUGAAAAGAAAAGGUUUUGCAAGCUAGGAGCUGGGGGAUUAAUUGUAAGUUUACAUUUGCUUGAUGCUCAAAUGUUUUGGGAUUAGAAAUUUAUUGUAGUCUGUAAGUUGUGGAGGUAAUAGCCUGUCCAAGUCAACCAAGACUAGGAUAAUCAGUGUUCCAAUGACCUAGCCGAAAUCAACCAUGUUGACCUGCCUAACCUGCAACCCGAGAGCCUUGGCAAGUCGGAUCGGUAAUGACCGAAAUUUGGAGAAAAUUCCCGACGGGUCGACCUGGUUGACCUGCCCCGACCCGCAACCUAAGAGCCUUGAUGUGUCGGAUCAGUAACCGACCUGGAAUUUGGAAAGAACAAUAUUGGGGUAGAACGGUUUGAACCAUUUGACCCAGCCGUGUUAAAUGGUUGGGUAGUUUGACCAAUCUUGUCGAAUGGUUAACCAUUCGACCCAGCUGGGUCAACGCGGUUUGACUCAUUCAGGGUCUGGAUAAAAAGCCUUAAAAAGAAAACUAAAGCUUUAACAUAGCAGCCCCUCUCCAGCCACCAGGAUACUUUCACUGUCUUAUUAUAAGAAUUUAUUAUACCUAUAUAUUUUUUAAUUUACUGUGUUACAAUAUUUAUUUAUUUAUUUUCUGUAUGAUGUUAUGAUCAUUAGGUAGAACUUGCAAUCAACCUGUGGUCAAAUCGCUGACCUAUGACCUGGCAACCAAAAUGGGCUUUUUCCAGGUCAACGGGUUUUGAAUAUUGGUGAUAACUACAUGAAGGGGUCACUAUCACCAUGGUUUUAGAUGAGAAGAAUUCUGUGUUCCCCUUUCUAUGAUCACAGCCUAGAGGUAUAUGGGCAAUGGGAUGAUUGAGCACAAGAAGAUAGAGAUAGUAGAAGAGUGAGACAGAGAAGAGAAAGGAAAAGAAAGAAGAAACAAGAAGGAAAUUAUGAGAAAGAAAAGUGGAACUACUGCCAGGGCUGACUCUGGCUGGACCUCCUUCUCUCUGAUCUCGCAUCAUAUUGUCCUUUCAUGUCUUCCAUAUCUGUCUGGGGUUUAUGUAAAUUCUCAUUUGCUAAUCGACUUGAUUUUGGGGUUUGGAAAACAAGAGUUGAACUGAAAUGUACAUCAUUUCAUAAAGGGCAGAGUGACUUGCUAGAUUUCA